UCAGCGGGCUGUACGUCCCAGUGCUGGGGAGGACAGCUGCCUCCUGGGUCUCUGUGUGUAUUGCUGCCACUGCGCGGGACGGCUCUCUGCAGCUCAGCUCCCCUCCAACUACUGCACCCUGCCUUUCGAUAUUAUUGUCUUACAGGAUUACAUUUAAAUUGCAGACCUCAAACUAACCUGGAAAGUUAAAUCCUCUGGAGAGUAAGUGUAAAUAGGAUUACCCAUAACUUCCAGUCCUUGCCCAGCUGCACCACUGUGGCUCCUCUGACCUCUGCAGAGGAACAGAAAUCACACAGGCAGAACAACAAAGGGCUUUGGGAUAUUAUUUUGGUUUUUUUCCUCUCAGGAGAAAGGAAGACAGAGAGCCCUGAGCACAGGUUCUGGGAGGGCAGCUGCAGAAAACUCGUAUCCUCGUGCCCGGAGGUGAUACAGGACACACCGAACAGAGUACACCCACCCACGCAUUCAACAGCUUCAUCAUUCAAACUAUGGCACAGAUGCACGGAGUACGAGAACCAAAGCAGAACUGUAGAGACCCAAGAAAGCUCAUUAUCAAAAUGAUCAUUUCUUUAAAAGAUAGAUCAUUCCAGCAGAACCCUCAAUUGAAUGAUACGGGCUAUGAGAUGGACAACAGACUUCCAAAACUCAGAGAAUCUACAGAUACGAUAAUAUAUUUUCCCAAGAAUGAAUAUCUUUGCUUUCUUAAUGCAUAGAAAUGGCAGCCGCUUCCAAAUGUUUUCAGCACUGAAAUUUCAAGUCAGUAUUUCAGGCAAUCUUUAAUCAUUUUCAGCGUAUUUAAAACAGUGCAUUAGUGUCCCUAUCUGUUUUGUUAUGAGAAAUAGGGUAUAAAGGGUACCAGGAUGCAACAGGUCCUUUAACUGAUAAAGAACUAUGUUCUUUAAUCAGUUGUAUGCAUUUUGCUUAGCCUUUUAUGCCUAAACAUGGGGUUUUUUCCUAGUAUGAAUCACACUAAAACAAAGCUUUUUCUCUGACCUAAUGAGAUUAAUGAACAGCAAAUUCCAGUAAUUCUUACUAAGUAAGAAUUAUUAAAGAAAAACCCUUUCUUGAAUCAGACAUCUCCUAGGAAUUGAAGUUUUCCCUGCUUAUGCAGACGUUCUUCACCUGAAUUUCCAUCCUAGCAUGGCAGCAGCCAGCAGCUGGUCUCCUGUCUGGAGUAUGUUGUUUUGAAUGCAGCCCCUAGUGAAUUACAAACCCUAAAUCUGACGCAAAUAGAGUCUUGAGAUAUAAGGAGUCAUAAAGGAGAUUUGAUGGGCUUUAACUGCAGCCGAAUGCUACAGAAGGAACAUACUUUGCAAUAACAUGUACAUCAUAUGGAUCCUAUUUGCUUCCUCGUGAUAAAGUGGCAACUUAAGCUGUGAAAAUUACUGUCAUCCAUCUCACCCCAUGCAUUCACAUGCUUGGGAAGUGUAAGCGAAUAUGCAGCUACGUGUUUCGCAAACAAAAUAUUUCUCCUAAGUUAAAAAAAAAGAAUACUUUAAUGCAUUUCACAAGAAAUGAUCAGGCAAUGCAUGGAGGCCUGGCAUGAGUCCAGCCCAUUAAAACCCAUCAAAUCUGCUUCACAGACACUGAACUCUGCUGCCUUGCAGGCCAGAAUCAGAUCCACUGUACUAAGGUCCAACACCUCUGAAAUCAAAAGGACAGAAUUUAUUCCUUAACUCAAAAUUUUCUUUCUUAUAUGCUGCAAAGGCACAUCCUUGCUAUUUUUAUGUGCGCUGACAGUAUUUGUUCUUAGUACUCCCACUGGAUCUCACUGAUCUCACAGUGUGUUUAUAAGAAGCUUGAUGUGUGAGGAGCACAUGGGCAUAUGUUCUAUAAUACAGAUUUAUAAAUAUAGAUACACUUAGUUUAACUGAACUUAAACUCUACUCCCCCAGAAGCAGUGCGUACCAUGAGAAAAUUGUGUGUUCUGCAAAACAGCACUUGUGACUUUUAAAGACUGUUUUAUUAAAAUUUUCUUUUGAUUUCAAGGCAUAUUACUUUGAAAUAUUUCCUUGAAAUAUGAGACAUAUUUGCAUCAGAUAUGUUGCAUUUCCUUGUUCUACAUUACCAGUUCUUUAUACGCUUCUAUCAAAUUUUUGUUUACAUGGUAUCUCUUUAAAUCUAAUGGUUCCUUAUCCAUUUGUCGUUUUAUCCUUAAUGUUAUCAUCAAAUUUUCAUUUUCUACCUCUGGAUCUUUUCUUUGUCUACUUUGCCACAGAGAGAUCAUAAUCCCACAUUAUUAAUUAUCCCACAGUGAUAUUGAAGAAUUUAUUGCUGCUGAUGUAAUAGGGGAAAACUAAUUGAUUUUAAUACAGAUAUGCUUGAAUCUAUCAGCUGAAAAUUUGGUCUAAUUUUUGUAGGACAUUAACUCAGCAGAACCCUUACAAUCCCAAGCUCUAUGCCUGAUUGUAACACAGCAGUGCAACCUGCUCCUGUAAAUCUACAAGCAGGAACAGAUUCUAAAAUUUUGCCCUAAUAGUCAAAUGCUACAGUCUCUGCAAAUUGCUUUGUAAAACAGAAUUGGGUUACUGAGAUAUCACAUGACUUCAGAGGUCUGGGGACUGGCAGCAAUGUUUUCAUUUGUCACAUAGGAUAGAAAUUUAAAGAUGGCUUUGCCUAGAACAACUGACAAGAUAUUUACAAAAUCAAAGAAAUAAAAGGCGGCUUCAAGCAAGACACAAUUUCUCAUUCUAAUGGCCUGCCUGUACUAGCUUUGCUUGCAAAAUGAAAAGUAUGCAGCACACCACCUACUUUUUAGUUAGUCUCCAAUGAUUUUUUUUCUUGUAUUAUAUGAACAAUUCCUAUAGGAGUUUUCACCAAAGUUUCUCAAACACUAACCAUAUGAGGAAGUUUAUUAUUCCCAUUGUACAAAUGAGAAGACUGAGGAACUAAGAUUACAUGUGAUCCCACGUCUCAAGAAAACUUUGACGUAUUUGCCUGUUGCGCGGCGCUGCCCAGAGCCUGCAGUGUGUGCCCACGGCCACCCCUGGCCCCGGGCUCUGCCUGCACGUGGCCAAUUCAGGGACCAAGGGACGACGGCAGCCCUGCCCAAACGGUAAGGGGAAGGCUGGCCCACAUGAAUCCUGCAACCACACGCAGACCUACGAAUAGUUCAGUGAAAAGAAAGAAGCAUCUGUUUCAUCAAUAGAGAAACUGCACAAGAAAGUAGCAAAAGUGAAUGAAUGGAGGGAUACCAGAAAGUGUCUUCAGAUACUGGAGGGACCAGGAGACUUUGAACUCUAUACUCAUCAUCCCCACCUUCAGACCUCAAAGCCUGCUGCCCAGUUCCCUGGGUACAGGAGCAUAAGGGACAUCCCCAAGGCCCGGUGCCUGGGAAAAGAAAAGGUAGUUCCUAAAAAGCAAGACUACCCUGAAGAGGAUGUCUCCCAAGGGCAGCAAUAUCAGCAAAAUCAGGCUCAGCAGGCACAGACAAGCCUCUCAAGUCUAAAGCGACAAGGAGCCCCCACUACUGGUGCCUGAUUAUUUGGGCAGGACUGGCCCCAAACAGGCAAAGGCAACAGGAAAAGGCAUUUUCGCCCCAGGGAUGACAGGGAACUUUCAAAAGCAGCUUUGGUAAUUAAGGGUGGGCUGAACAAGACAUUUUGUCCUCAUAGGACUCAAGAAGGGUAUGAACACUGGUAUGAUCCUUGCAAGGAAGGAAAGAGAGGAGGAUGGAAGUGGAAAAGAUAAAAUCAUUGCCAAAAAAUCUCUCCUGGCUCCUUAUCCUCCCAGGUAUACAUAGCAGUAUUGCAGGCUCACGGAAGUUACAAGCUUUCUGAAGCUCGAAAAUGAAUAUUGUUGAACAUUUACAUUUAAUAACUGGAGGAAAGAAAUGGCAGAGUGACUGCCAGCACUCACUGGGUAGGGCUGACAAGUUGUUUUAAAUUGCUUUUCACCAGUACUAUCAGUAGAACAGACCUGUGCCAAGACACCAGGAACAGCUAUUAGUAUAAUAGCAUGUUUACGCACUUCAGAGCGGUAAUGGAAGGUAUUGCAACAGGGAUUGACAUUAAUAUGGAGAAACUAAGAAGAAAGGAAGGAAAAAGCCAUGUGGACAGAUUCAGGAGACUAAGUGGAAAUACAAAGUUCAGGAGGAAAGAGUUUUACAGUAGACAACUACACAGAUUAGCAAGUUAGAUUAUGCCAAAACAAAAUAACCAGCAUUGAGACUAACGACCAGUAAAAAUAUCCCAACAGAAAGAUGCAGAUUCAUUGAAACGUAACACAUAUUGUAAACAAUUAGUAGCAAAGUUACUCUUUGAGGAUACCAAAAAGUAUCUUUAGACACUGGAGGGGCCAAGAGACUUUGAAGUUUUUCCAAUUUUUAUCUUAUAAUUCAUGUCUUUUAGACUGUCAUGCAACUGCAAAGUUUUCAGGAAGUGAUAAUCUUGAAAGCCACAAUAGGACAAACAGAAAUGAUAUGGCAAAAAGGAAGGAACAUUCUUCAUUCGUUUUCUUAACUUCAUCUUUGCUUUUGACUGACAUAUUGCUCAAGCAUGUACUAAGAAUCAGUAUUUAUAUAUUGAAAAGCACCUAACUGAAAUAUCUCAAAUUUCACAGAGCUUGGAUUCUAAACCUACCAGUAUUUUAACAAACUAGUAGUGUUCAGUUGCAACACUCCACCUCUUCUGGGAAGCCAAUUCAGUUGAAAAAGGGUUAUCUAUGUUUUUGUUAUUCAAAUGACUUCCAGUGGAAAAAGAAAACAUUAGGAAGAGCUGUAGAGGAAUCUUUUCAGAAAUUAGUAAAGUGAUAUGUGAAUAAAGUUUGUGGAGUUCCAGGUCCUGCUCUAAUUAGUCCUGAAAAAAAGAACCCCCAAACCAGCAACUCUUCAAUAAAAAAUUCAUAAUUUCUGCA